UUGUUUUUCUCAGCUUUUGCUAUCAUAAAUAAUGCCGCAGUGAAGAUGUUCAUACAUAGAAAUCCUUCUCCCAAAGCAGUGUUUUGUAGGAGAAGAAACGGGAUUGGAAUCAGACUGCAUUUGAAUGCAGAUUCUCCCUUAUAAUAAUGGUGCCAUAUCAGGCUGGCAUAUUUCAUUAAAAGCGUGGGAACCCUCAGUGACCCUGGGUACUCACUUGACGUUGAGAGUUGAGCCGUGUGUUUGUUACCUUCAGGGACAAUGUGUUUGCGGUUCCUGGGGUGAGAGAAUGUGGCCUGGUCAGAGGAGAUCACCUUGCAAAGCAGUUACGGAAAGCCUCCUAUGUUUUCUUUGAGGUGUUGCAGAUAGAGCAGUGAUCAAAGCAGUCUGAGCCUUUGCUUUUGUGGAGCUGACAUUUUGUUAGGGGAUUUUUCUGGGAAAAAGCAUCACCAGCCUGUGAGUAACUUGUCUCCCAGGGCCCUUCCCUGAGCACAUUCGCCCUCAUUUUUCAGAUUCAACUCAAGUGCUGUAAUCUUUAGAAAACCUUCCAUCCCUGUUCUGGGCAAAGCUAUAGUAUUUCCCUGAUUCUAAGAUGUGCACUUUCCCAUAUUUUACUGUUGCUGUUGUUUUUCAAUUGGGAAUUUAAAAUUUUGAUGUCUGAACUGUGGUGUGUUCACUUGAUGUCAUCAAGUUUCCUUUUUCUGCAAGCUGUUAAGUCAGUAGGUGCCUUAUUGUCAAGAUGUCUCUUGGUUAGGAAAAUAAGUGAGUACCUAGGGGCUGUGCUUCCAUGCGCUUUGUCUGCACAGUGACAGGCUGCUCACCUCAUUGUGUCUGGUCACAUAUCUUUCUCCCUCGCUGGACUGUGAAUUCCUCAGGGGCAACCAUGUCUAAUUCAACCAUGAUUUUUCUUCAGCUCCAAACCCGCCCCUGACACCCAGUAAACACUUGCUUCUCUUGGGGACAAAAGCAAUGCAUGACAAAAUGGAGUAAAGCUCUCCUGCUCUCCACAUGAUCAGAUCUGAACAUCAGCCCUAUUGAAAUGGAGCCCAUCCUACUCCAGUGUGACCUCACUUUAGCUUGACUGCAAUGACUGAUCUGCAAUGACCUUAUUUCCAAAUAGGAUCAUUCUGAGGUAUGGCUCUACCAUCAGGUGCCUCCGUUGUAGCAUGUGCGCUGCAUUAAAAAGCAACCUGAGCAGACAAAGGGGACUGCUGCCUUCUACAGGCACCUAGGACAGCCUCUGCCUGAGCAUUGAUGCUUCAUAAAUAUUGGUUGAAUUAACAAAUAAAUGGAGGAGGAGGAUGGCGGAAUAGGAACAGCUCCAGUCUACAGCU